GACGAACGCUGGCGGCGUGCUUAACACAUGCCAGUCGAACGGAAAGGCCCUGCUUUUGUGGGGUGCUCGAGUGGCGAACGGGUGAGUAACACGUGAGUAACCUGCCCUUGACUUUGGGAUAACUUCAGGAAACUGGGGCUAAUACCGGAUAGGAGCUCCUGCUGCAUGGGGGGGGUUGGAAAGUUUCGGCGGUGGGGGAUGGACUCGCGGCUUAUCAGCUUGUUUGUGGGGUAGUGGCUUACCAAGGCUUUGACGGGUAGCCGGCCUGAGAGGGUGACCGGCCACAUUGGGACUGAGAUACGGCCCAGACUCCUACGGGCGGCAGCAGUGGGGAAUAUUGCACAAUGGGCGGAAGCCUGAUGCAGCAACGCCGCGUGCGGGAUGACGGCCUUCGGGUUGUAAACCGCUUUCGCCUGUGACGAAGCGUGAGUGACGGUAAUGGGUAAAGAAGCACCGGCUAACUACGUG
rnacentral:rRNA from 1 species